AGUGAACGCUGGCGGUAGGCCUAACACAUGCAAGUCGAACGGCAGCACAGUAAGAGCUUGCUCUUACGGGUGGCGAGUGGCGGACGGGUGAGGAAUACAUCGGAAUCUACUUUUUCGUGGGGGAUAACGUAGGGAAACUUACGCUAAUACCGCAUACGACCUACGGGUGAAAGCAGGGGAUCUUCGGACCUUGCGCGACUGAAUGAGCCGAUGUCGGAUUAGCUAGUUGGCGGGGUAAAGGCCCACCAAGGCGACGAUCCGUAGCUGGUCUGAGAGGAUGAUCAGCCACACUGGAACUGAGACACGGUCCAGACUCCUACGGGAGGCAGCAGUGGGGAAUAUUGGACAAUGGGCGCAAGCCUGAUCCAGCCAUACCGCGUGGGUGAAGAAGGCCUUCGGGUUGUAAAGCCCUUUUGUUGGGAAAGAAAAGCAGCAGGUUAAUACCCCGCUGUUCUGACGGUACCCAAAAAAUAAGCACCGGCUAACUUCGUG
rnacentral:rRNA from 1 species